UGGGGAAUUUUGGACAAUGGGCGCAAGCCUGAUCCAGCAAUGCCGCGUGAGGGAAGAAGGCCUUCGGGUUGUAAACCGCUUUUGUCAGGGAAGAAAUCUUCUGGGUUAAUACCUCGGGAGGAUGACGGUACCUGAAGAAUAAGCACCGGCUAACUACGUGCCAGCAGCCGCGGUAAUACGUAGGGUGCAAGCGUUAAUCGGAAUUACUGGGCGUAAAGCGUGCGCAGGCGGUUAUGCAAGACAGAUGUGAAAUCCCCGGGCUCAACCUGGGAACUGCAUUUGUGACUGCAUGGCUAGAGUGCGGCAGAGGGGGAUGGAAUUCCGCGUGUAGCAGUGAAAUGCGUAGAUAUGCGGAGGAACACCGAUGGCGAAGGCAAUCCCCUGGGCCUGCACUGACGCUCAUGCACGAAAGCGUGGGGAGCAAACAGGAUUAGAUACCCUGGUAGUCCACGCCCUAAACGAUGUCAACUGGUUGUUGGGAAGGUUCCUUCUCAGUAACGUAGCUAACGCGUGAAGUUGACCGCCUGGGGAGUACGGCCGCAAGGUUG
rnacentral:rRNA from 1 species